CAGGUGCAUGGAAAGGUCUUGUAGACAGUUUGGUGAAGGAGAAAGCUUUUAUGCAGAAGGCCUAUGAAGAAAGAAUUGAGAGACUUGAAGGACAACUCCUACUUGUUUAUGCUCGUCCUGAUGACACAUGUCCUUAAAUGGUUUUCUUGGUUGUAUUUUGGGUUGAUAACUUUGUAUAUUUUGAUAAAAAUGCUUAAAAUGAAAAUUUUUGUUUUGUUAUCAAAAAUGUUUGCAAUUCUAUCUUUUCCUUCACUUAGAGUUCCUUGGAAAAUCAUUCAUUUUGCAUAUCCAUGCAUCACGUGCAUACAGGUUGUCUGUCUUGG
rnacentral:lncRNA from 1 species